rnacentral:rRNA from 1 species
AAGUUUCAACAACGGAUCUCUUGGCUCUCGCAUCGAUAAAGAACGCAGCGAAAUGCGAUAAGUAAUGUGAAUUGCAGAAUUCAGUGAAUCAUCGAAUCUUUGAACGCACCUUGCGCUCCUUGGUAUUCCUCGGAGCAUGCCUGUUUGAGUAUCA